rnacentral:rRNA from 1 species
UACGGGGGGGAGCAAGCGUUGUUCGGAUUUACUGGGCGUAAAGGGCGCGUAGGCGGUCGUGACAAGUCACUUGUGAAAUCUCCGGGCUUAACUCGGAACGGUCAAGUGAUACUGUCGUGCUAGAGUACAGAAGGGGCAACUGGAAUUCUCGGUGUAGCGGUGAAAUGCGUAGAUAUCGUCUGGAACGCCAAUGGUGAAAACAGCUCGCUGGGGGUUUGCUGACGCUGAGACACGAAAGCCAGGGGAGCAAACGGG